GAAAGAAAGAAAGAAAGAAAGAAAGAACGAACGAACGAACGAACGAACCUGUCCUGGGGCCUCCAUCCCCACGCACAGCGUGGGCCUCGCAGCAAUAAGGACAAUUGGGAAACAGGAAUGGAGAGUUAAUGAUAGAACUAAGGAAAACUGGAGAGAAUUUCCAAGCAGACACCUAAAAAUAUGUAGCACGUCAGGAAAAUUAAGCCAAGCAAGGAAUCCUGCAAGUCUUACUGAGAAGAAUAAAGAAAGUGGCUUCAAAAAAUUUUGGA